rnacentral:rRNA from 1 species
AGAACGAACGCUGGCGGCGUGGAUAAGACAUGCAAGUCGGACGCGAUUUAUCCGGUUAGCAAUAACUGGGUGGAUUGAGUGGCGAAAGGGUGCGUAACACGUGGGAAUUUACCAAGAAGUGGGGGAAUAGCUCGACGAAAGUCGAAUUAAUACCGCAUGUGAUCGUAAGAUCAAAGCCGGGGACCGCAAGGCCUGGCGCUUUUUGAGAAGCCCGCGGCCCAUCAGCUAGUUGGUGAGGUAAUGGCUCACCAAGGCUAUGACGGGUAGCUGGUCUGAGAGGACGACCAGCCACACUGGAACUGAGACACGGUCCAGACACCUACGGGUGGCAGCGAGUCGAGAAUUUUUCACAAUGGGGAACCCUGAUGGAGCGACGCCGCGUGGAGGAUGAGGUUCUUGGAUUGUAAACUCCUGUCACUGCAGAACAAGAUACGCAGUUAACAGCCGCGUA